rnacentral:rRNA from 1 species
ACUCCUACGGGAGGCAGCAGUCGAGAAUCGUCCGCAAUGCACUAACGUGUGACGGCGCGACGUCGCGUGAUGGAUGAAUCACUUCGGUGUGUAAACAUCUUUUAUGAGGGAGGAAAUUUAUUGACGUGUACCUCAUGUAAUAAGGGCGUCCUAAUUCGUGCCAGCAGGAGCGGUAACACGAAUGCCCCGAGCGUUAUCCGGAAUUACUGGGCGUAAAGGGUCCGCAGGCGGCUCUGUUAGUCCGGCGUUAAAUCACGAGGCUUAACCUCGUGGCUGCGUCGGAAACGGCAGAGCUUGAGGGUGUGAGAGGUGAGUGGAACCGACGGUGUA